CUUCUCUCAAGGGUCAGCUGUAAAUGGGAUAAGAGAAUGCAGAAGUCAGAGAGCUCGAAAUCAUCCGAUGCCGUCUAUCCAGCAGCCAGAGUAAAGCUCAGGUCCUUGCAAGAAGUUACAUUGCUGAACUCCCAGCACUGCUCCCUGGACUACAUGCUCCCGAAACACAAGCUCUACAAUGCUGGGUUGGGCUCUCUGGAGGAAUGUGAAGACAACACAGCCCCCUGCAGCGUGGUAUGACCCUAGAAACAGUCUGCCAAGUCCGGCAUGGAUACUGCAGCCCAGUCUGCUCCCUGGUGGCUCAGCCGGUUCUAUGGUUUUAAAAACUGAUGGCAACUCUGUGUCUGAGCCAUAAACCAUGCGCCCAGCUUCCCUUCCAAACCUCCUGCCAGCCAGACUGAGCACCACAACGGGCUGACUGAUCCCAGCAGCCUCCUGGCUUUAAACACAAAUAUUUACAGUUUGAUAUAUUUUUUAUAUAUUAAAUAUGAUAAACUACAAAUUA